GGGAAUCGUAACGUAUCCGUGGCAACGUCUGGUCUAACUUCCCAGAAUUCCAUGUCUUCAGCCAAAGCUGUGGAAAUCAUCAAGCGAUUCCAGGGUUUACAGCUCGCCAACAGCAACGCUGAGAAAGACGUCAUCAGAAAAGCUGAGGAGCUGGAGCUCAUGUCC